UUACCUGGAUAACUGUGGUAAUUCUAGAGCUAAUACAUGCUAAAAACCUCGACUCACGAAGAGGUGUAUUUAUUAGAUAAAAAACCAAUGCCCUUCGGGGCUCCUUGGUGAAUCAUAAUAACUUAACGAAUCGCAUGACCUUGCGUCGGCGAUGGUUCAUUCAAAUCUGUGCCCUAUCAACUUCGAUGGUACGAUAGAGGCGUACCAUGGUGUCAACGGGUAUGUUUGCUCUUUUCUUUAAAUUUUCUGCCAAAUUAGGGGCAAUCAGCUAACUUCGCAAAGGUAACGGGGGAUUAGGGUCCGAUCCCGGAGAGGGAGCCUGAGAAACGGCUACCACAUCCAAGGAAGGCAGCAGGCGCGCAAAUUACCCAAUGCCGACACGGCGAGGUAGUGACAAUAAAUACUGAUGCAGAGCUCUUUUGGGUUUUGCAAUUGGAAUGAGUACAAUUUAAAUUCCUUAACGAGGAACAAUUGGAGGGCAAGUCUGGUGCCAGCAGCCGCGGUAAUUCCAGCUCCAAUAGCGUAUAUUAAAGUUGUUGCAGUUAAAAAGCUCGUAGUUGAACUUUGGGCCUGGCUGACCGGUCCGCCUCACCGCGUGCACUGGUUCGGCCGGGCCUUUCCUCCUGGAGAUCCGCAUGCCCUUUACUGGGUGUGCUGGGGAACCAGGACUUUUACUUUGAAAAAAUUAGAGUGUUCAAAGCAGGUCUAUGCUCGAAUACAUUAGCAUGGAAUAAUAGAAUAGGACGGAGGUUCUAUUUUGUUGGUUUCUAGGACUGCCGUAAUGAUUAAUAGGGAUAGUCGGGGGCAUCAGGUAUGUUCAAUUCUAUCAACAGUCAACCCAAAACCGUAUACUAACAGAUUCUAUAGUAUUCAAUUGUCAGAGGUGAAAUUCUUGGAUUUAUUGAAGACUAACUACUGCGAAAGCAUUUGCCAAGGAUGUUUUCAUUAAUCAGUGAACGAAAGUUAGGGGAUCGAAGACGAUCAGAUACCGUCGUAGUCUUAACCAUAAACUAUGCCGACUAGGGAUCGGCCGGUGUUAUUAUUUUGACCCGGUCGGCACCUUACGAGAAAUCAAAGUUUUUAGGUUCUGGGGGGAGUAUGGUCGCAAGGCUGAAACUUAAAGAAAUUGACGGAAAGGCACCACCAGGCGUGGAGCCUGCGGCUUAAUUUGACUCAACACGGGGAAACUCACCAGGUCCAGACUCAGUAAGGAUUGACAGAUUGAGAGCUCUUUCUUGAUUCUGAGGUUGGUGGUGCAUGGCCGUUCUUAGUUGGUGGAGUGAUUUGUCUGCUUAAUUGCGAUAACGAACGAGACCUUACCCUGCUAAAUAGUCCGGCCCGCUUUGGCGGGUCGCAGACUUCUUAGAGGGACUAUCGGCUNCAAGCCGAUGGAAGUUUGAGGCAAUAACAGGUCUGUGAUGCCCUUAGAUGUCCUGGGCCGCACGGUAUGUACCACUUAAAACUUUCCGUGUAUAUCCAACUAACGUUUUUAUAGCGCGCUACACUGACAGAGCCAACGAGUAAUUUACCUUGGCCGGAAGGUCUGGGCAAUCUUGUUAAACUCUGUCGUGCUGGGGAUAGAGCAUUGCAAUUAUUGCUCUUCAACGAGGAAUGCCUAGUAGGCGCAAGUCAUCAGCUUGCGCCGAUUACGUCCCUGCCCUUUGUACACACCGCCCGUCGCUACUACCGAUUGAAUGGCUCAGUGAGGCCUCCGGACUGGCUCAGAGAGAUGGGCAACUAUCACUCAGAGCCGGAAAG
rnacentral:rRNA from 1 species